GAUGAACGCUAGCGGCAGGCUUAAUACAUGCAGGUCGAGGGGUAGCAAGAUUGUAGCAAUACAAUUGUUGACGACCGGCAAACGGGUGCGGAACACGUACACAACCUUCCUACAAGUGGGGAAUAGCCCAGAGAAAUUUGGAUUAAUACCCCGUAACAUAGCGAUGUGGCAUCACAUUGCUAUUAUAGCUUCGGCGCUUGUUGAUGGGUGUGCGGCUGAUUAGAUAGUUGGCGGGGUAACGGCCCACCAAGUCUACGAUCAGUAGCUGAUGUGAGAGCAUGAUCAGCCGCACGGGCACUGAGACACGGGCCCGACUCCUACGGGAGGCAGCAGUAAGGAAUAUUGGACAAUGGACGCAAGUCUGAUCCAGCCAUGCCGCGUGAAGGAUUAAGGUCCUCUGGAUUGUAAACUUCUUUUAUAAGGGACGAAAAAAGGUCUUUCUAGAUCGUCUGACGGUACCUUAUGAAUAAGCACCGGCUAACUCCGUGCCAGCAGCCGCGGUAACAC
rnacentral:rRNA from 1 species